rnacentral:rRNA from 1 species
ACGUGGGUAAUCUGCCCUUCGGUGGGGGACAACAAUUCGAAAGAGUUGCUAAUACCGCAUCCGUUCACGAGUUCUGCGGAGCUUGUGAAGAAAGCUGGCUUCGGCUGGCGCCGAAGGAGGAGCCCGCGUCGCAUCAGCUUGUUGGUGGGGUAACGGCCUACCAAGGCAAAGACGCGUAGCUGGUCUGAGAGGAUGAUCAGCCACACUGGGACUGAGACACGGCCCAGACUCCUACGGGAGGCAGCAGUGGGGAAUAUUGGACAAUGGGGGCAACCCUGAUCCAGCCAUGCCGCGUGAGUG